UCCUCGUCGUCCAGGCACCAUUCGGGGAGCCCAUCCUUGUCCUCCUCAAAGCCGUCAGGCCCUCGGCACCUCCGCAGGCGCGGAACCCCUCCACACGACACCAGAACCCGCCACAGGGCUUCUCUGCUCUGCCAUGAUGCUGCCAGCACCUGUCAUCCCAACUCUGGCUACGCUGGAUCUCCCGGGGGUUUCGACCAAAGGCCCCUUCGCCUUCUUCGAUGCUUCUUUGGUAAAAGCAACUGUCACCACGGCCUCGGCCUGGAGAAAGGAGAUACACGUGGGAAGCCUGCCCGAUCGUCUCUCUGCACCCUCAAAACCAUGGGCCCCACCUCGGCCCGCCCCCGGAACACGUGGUCACCCCCUCUACCUCGGCUCCGAGUGCUGCCCCUGCCGCGGGAGGCGCCACCUAGGGGGGGGCCGGCCCCCUUCCCCAUCAGCCUCAGCACAGCCACACUGUUCACUGACAGGGAGAAGUUUCUCUGAGGAGGGAGCCAGGGGUGGGAGUGAGGACCCAGGCACCCGCCGCCCCCCCCCCCACCCCGCCCAGAACCACAACCUCCACCACCUGUCUUUCCAGCUUUGGCCCCUCUCUCCAAGAUGGAGACCCAGCACCCUGCCCUGCAAGGCUCCGGCCCAGGCCCACCUGCUCCUCCUCAGUCAAAGGCUCCAGCGCCAGGGGCUGCAGUGGCUCCUCCUGCAGCACCGCAGCAAACUCCUUGUCCUGCAGCUCAUCGGGUACCUGUCAACCGGGGCAGAGCGGAGGUCCCACGUGCUCCUGGACCCCCUCCACUGGCUGAGACCAAAUGGGCAACAGGGCCACACACCCCACACUCUCGCCUAGCCCCACCUUGUUCUCCUUGACGUAGAGAGCCAGCAUCUCUUCUCGCCCGUAGCGAUAGUCAGCCAGCUUGUAUUUGGGCAUGGCAGGGGACGGGGGUGGAGAGGCCACACUGCCACCGCUGGAAAGGGCCCUCAGCCUAGAAAAGGGACACAGGAAAGGAGAGAAACAGGAAUCCGGGCAGCCCUCUUCUUCCUGGUUUCUCUGAGCCAUCCAAAGCAUGUGUGACUCACCACUCAGGCCCAAAAUUGAGGGUCUCUGCUGCCAUCGUGGAGCCAGGUGUAUCCUCAAGGUCCGAGGGGCUGAAGGGACAAGGGGGGGGACCUGGCGUUCACUCUCCAAACACCUGUGGAGACACGGGGACACUAGGCCUCGGAGACAACACAUCACACACCUAGAGAAGCGCAAGAAGAGAAGAAAUGGAAUCCCGCCUAAUGAACUCUGAAAGGACUCACCUAAGCCAGCCACGUGCCACUCACACCAUGAGUUAAGUGAACUGUCGCAACGGGGGAAGACCUGGGGGAAGGAAGGAAAACAGGGCAGCUGGAGCCCUUUCCAGCUUCAGCAAAGGGUACCUCCCUCUACCCCAGACUUACUUGGCAGCCUUGCCCCAGGAAGCAGGUAGGGCCGGGCCGGGCCGGGGCUCUCUUCAGGCAGGGGCCUGUGCUGGAAUGAACCAAGGUCUCCAAGCUACAGGACGCUGACCUGACUACAGUGGUGUCCAGGGAGGGAGCUUCACAUCAGGGAAAGAUCCUUACCGAGAGGCAAGAAAAUAAAACUGGGGUUAAACUAAUGGGCCGGGUGGGUCUCCCCACCUCUGGCCCUCCCCUGGCCCACAACAUGGGGAGAUCCACAGCUGCGGGAGGCUUCUAGUUAUCCGGCGCAGGGAACCACGGACCCUGCUCUUUCUCAUCUCUGUCCCCCCCGCUAGGCCUCAAGACCAGUUAAUUGACCCAGCAGAGCUAACAGAGGCGCUGGCAUUGUGGCAGAGCACGCCAGGUACCUCUCCAGGCCUAAGCGCCCUCGCAGGGUGGCGUGGUAUUUGGGAAGGGGCUGGUUGAGGCAUGGGGGACACUCAGAACAAAGGUAAAACACAAGCAAGCAAGGAAACCAACAAACAAAACGUCAGAGCCACAAAUACCCUAGAGACAAAAAAA